GUUCGAUCCCCGGUACCAAAAAAAGAAAGAAAAAGACCAGGAGACAGGUUUAAAUCUAAUUCAGUGUACUUGGCAGUAAACUACCUGUGCCUCAAUUUCCUUGGUUGUCAGAGGACACUGACAGUUCCAAGCAUUGGACUGUGAAAACUAACAAACCUGUACGGGUGUGGCUUUCUCCUCCAUGCAAGCACUUGGAGGUGAUCGGCUUCCCUCCGCCAUGCCCUUCCGCCGUGACCUUCCUGCCUGCCUUGGAGCCCGCCAACCUCAGACUGAGGUCUCUAAACUAUCGGAGCCCCCGUCAGUCUCUCCUUGAAGUUGUUUGCAUCAAACGUUGUCACAGGGCAGGAAGCUGGCCAGCGUGGAGCUCUGUGGAGGAAGAAAAAGGGACUCCCGGCAGUGCUGCCGAUGUGCCAGGUGUGCCCACAACAUCCCUGCAGGGGUGCGAGGGAUUAAAGGACACAGUCCCCACAGCAUCGUGCUGAGGAAGCCUGCCGGGCCCCCGUUUUCCCGAAUCCUCGCCAUAGCCCCCCCGUGAGGCUAUGCGCACCCCGGUGUCUUAGUGACCAGCUUGCGCCACGAGCCCUGUCUUGGGCCACCCCAGGCAGCCACUGCUCUCUGGGUGUGUGGCAGUCUCCAGUUAGCACAGUUGACAAAUCCAAAGGACCGAGCCAGUGCUGGCACAGGUGAGGCCCUGAGGUUACAGUAACAAGCAAGAGAGACACAGAAAUGGCCUUUGUGUCGCCACAGUGCAAUAAAGCCUGGCAUGGAGGAGAUGGCAUCCAGGCUCCUGAGAAAACCGAUGCCCCGCAGAUCUUUGGUUGGGAAGAGCCCUUCUGAGCAGAGCCCUGUGCUGACAGGCAGGGAACAGAAGACCGCUCUGGGCAGAGACAGCACGGGGUGUGGGCCAUGGAGUCCUGGCAUGGCUGGAGCUGGGCAGAGGGGCAGCAGGCCAGGCUCUUGGCGGUCCCGAAUCACUCAUGUGGCCCUCAGCCUGGGGCGUCAGCUGUGCCACACCAGGUGAAGCAUCUCCUCGAGAGGUAGAAAAUAGCAACUAAACAAAGCCACAGGGAAGGGGAGGAGGUGGACAGGGUCUGGUUGGGAGGGAAGGAGCUGGGCUCUGGGUAGAGAGUGUGGCAGAGGACCCUGCGGUGCUGGGAAGAGGAAGAGAGGGAGGCCAGGCCUUGUGAGGCCACGGGAGGACACAAGGUGUUUCAGUUAAGAAGUACGUAGCUUUUCUGUUUCCAUUUCUUAUGGACUGAGACAGGGUCUUACUUUAUUGCUUUGAAACUUCUGGGUACAAAGAUCAGUGCUUCUGCCUCAGUCUUUCGAAUAGCUAGGGCUACAAGUGCCUGCUACAUCCAGGUUGAUGUGUUUUUAAGACUUCAGGCGGUGGGGGGGUGUACCUGCGUAAUCCCCACACUCAGGAGGUUGAGGCGAAAGGAUUUCCCUGAGUUUGAGGGAUGAGAUCAAGCAGGAGGACAAUUCUAGGAGGUCUUCACAGAGGUUGAGUGGUUGGAGGUGAGAGGAGGAGGACACAGUGGAGGCUGAUCCCUGGGGCGUGGGUUGGCGACCUCAUGGCUAGUGGGAUCCGGGGUGCCUGGAGAUGCCCCGAGGGUGAGGGUGCGUGGGGUCCAAGCUCCAGGAACAGCGUGGAGUUGGGCUACUGUUUGCUUUGAAGCUGGAGAACCACAUACUACAUCUCACUGGCCCAGGCUGGCCCCAAACUCAGUGGGUGAUCCUCCUGCCUCAGCCUCCUGAGUGCAGUUGCUUACAGGUGUGUGCUAUGACAACCAACUCCAUUUUUAGUUUCCGUGGCCCACAGUUCUGGUUCUGGAGGCUGGGAAGUCCCAGGGCACAGCCUUGACUGGCUGAGCUCCGGGCCAGGGAGGGCACUGCUGAGCAUCCACCCAGGGCCCAUUGGCCUGGUGCUACACUGAGCCUGUUGUAACCUGGCUCCGGCUCCGGCUCUAGGCUUGCGCGUCCAGCAUUGUCCCCGUGGCAUUAAUGUUUCAGUAUGUGGUUUGGAGGGGCAGUCCCACAGCACACGCUGUCUCUGUGGAUGCUUCCUCUCGGGAUGGGAUGGUAGCAUGUGGUUGACAAGUGGAGGUUCUGGGGACAGAUAGUGAAUACCCAGGAUGGAAAGGGAAGUCAGGUGGCAGUGAUGCACGCUUGUGAUCCCAGCACUGAGGGAAGCUGAGGCAGGAGGUUUGCAGCAAGUU